UUUCAACUUACCGGUGGUUUAACAGCAGACUCACAACAUUUUCAAAUAUUUAAUAAUCGGCUCUUGCAAACCAGGAGGGGACAACUCCAGCAUGUCCUCAAUAGUCCUGCCCCAGAAAAUCCCCAAAUCACACCCCGGUUUAAUUCUUAGGUCCAGCCACAGAACCUAAAAGGGGAGAGGGAAGUUUUUCCUCUCCUCCAUCAACUAUGGAGAUAAUGGUGAACAAGGCAGAGUCUCUGCCCUCAUGAAGCUUACUGUCCAGUUUACAAGGAAAUCACUCUGUACACAAGUAACUUGAGAUAAUCCGAUAAUGACGACAAGGGUGCCGAGUGCUUUAAAGAAGAAGCCCAAGGUUUUACUAGGUACAUAACUACCCAGAGAAAGGAUUACAUGGCCACCUGCCCAAUGAGAUGUAGGCAGAAGUAACGUAUGGGGUCUCUGAGACCUUUUUUCUGCUACCUGGUAUCUGGAGGUGAUGGCUGGCAGCUGAGCAGCCAUCAGGGACCAUGAGGAGACACGGCUAAAGUUGGCAAACAGUAUAUUAAGUGGAGCUUUGUUCCCUGAUGACCAUGAGACUGUCAUACACCAUAUCAGCCCUGGAUCGCCUACCUCCAGGCUUCUUUUAUGUAAGGGAGAAAUAAAGGUCAAUCAAAUAAAUAAAGCCUCUAUUAUUUUCAGAUUUUCUGUUACACAAAGUCAAACACAAUCCCAACGACUACACGCAAUUUCCUUUCAGCCUAAUGAAGAGAACAUUUAUCUGCACAACUCACAUAUUACCUAGCUUACAGAAAAGCCUGUAAUAAUGACAAAUCUCUUUUGUCCCCUCCUUGGUCUCCUGGUCCUUCCCUUGCCCCUGCACCUCCUCUGUCUCCUAACUCCCACACCAGAGCUAGGCCUGACCUCAGAAUUUCCCCCUCCGUGAAUGACAGCUUCACAGCCCAAAGCUUCUUGAGUUCCUGCUACCUUCCCUUAGUGGCCGCCUGGUGAGAGUCCUGCUGUAGAGAGUCACAUGAAGUCCAGGGAGGCCUCCAGCCUUCAGGCGCUCCUCCCCACCCUUCCCAAAGAGGUAUAAAGAGUUAGAAUAAGAGGGAAAAGCUGAGAACAUGCACCAACUUGGAAAAAAUCACAAAAAUGAUCGGAGGUGCUUUAAUGGAACCUCCCUGCUUUGGGCUUUUCAAGCAGUGCGGGCUUUAAUCAGUCUGUUGCCCCAGCCUCUGGCUGACUAAGUCCAUGAGGUCAAGACUCCAAGGGAGAAAGUCAGUGUGUCUGCUUAUAAACUCAGGUCUGGCAGGGUGAGUGCACACCUCACAUGUUGGGUCAGAUGAGAUGAGGCCUUGUGUGAGUUAAAUUGUGAACCUGGCGCGUGUGCGUGCACACACACACACACACACACACAUAUGUUGACGUCUUAAAUCCCGCUAUCUCAGAAUGUGGCCUUAUUUGGAGAUAGAGUCUUAACAGAGGUCAUCACGUUAAAAUGAAGUCAUUAAGGUAAAUCCUAAUCCAACAAGUUUUGUGCCCUUAUAAAAAGGGGAAAUUUGGAGACAGACAAGCACCCAGGGAGAACACCAAGGCAGAGACAGGGUGACGCUUCUACAAGCCACGGGUGCCAAAGAUCACCAGCAAACCACCAGAAGCGAGAGGAGGGACAUGGGAUGGAUUACCCCUCACAGCCUUUGGAAGGAACCGACCCUGCUGACAGCCCUUUAUGGAACUUCUAGCUUCCAGAACUGUGACACAACACGCUUCUGUUGUUUAAGCCACACAGUCUGUGCUCCUUUGUUAGGACAGCCCAAGCAAACUAAUAUAAGGUCCCUUAAGUGCCAACUAGCAGGGGAGUUUGGGGAUAGCCACUGGUCUCAAAUGAUUUCCCUGCUGUCUCACGUUGGGAUAUGAAGAAUGAGAACAGCUGAAGUUUCUCUUGGCCAUUCUUCUGAACAGCGAAACCCAGGUGGUCUCUCCACCUGCAGACAACCAGGGGCAUAGUGAGUGGGGCCAACUCCUUCAUAGGAAAAGCCUUUUCUGCUCACCUCCUGGAAAUCAUGUUAAACACAGACACAUCCCAGGAAUGAAAGGCUGCUGUUAACUGGAGAGGUCUGUUGGUGAAUCUAUCUAUCUUUCAUCUAUCUCUAUAAUCUAUUUUUUUUUCCUUUUCUUGGCAGAAAAUCAACGUCUAGAUGGGUGGGAAAAGUAGUGCAGUCUCUUCAGACCCCAACUAAAGACUGUCUGUGUUGAACAAUUCUUGGGUAUGCACAAACACACACAUGAAAAAACUGUAUGUGGUCUCGGCUGCCCCUGUUCCCCAAACUUUGCCAUCCACGUGGGAGCUUGGAAGGCAGAAGGGAUGGGGGAAGAGAGACAAAGGCUAUCUGAAGGCUCUGUGGAAGCAGACCAGUGGCCCAAGUGGCCAGCAGCUGGCUCCUCCCAUCUACUCACUUUAUGCAUCUCAUAUCAGGCUGAUUUGAGCACAUGGGGCAUUUUGUUAAGCAGGGUGAGGACUUGCUGCUACUAAGCAUUUCUUAUUCUGCCAAUUUCUUAUUCUGCCGAUUUCUUAUUCUGCUGAUUUCUCAUUCUGCCAAUAGUUCUAUACUUUUAUUAUUUUCUCUCACCAUAACCAGAUGUUAACCCCAUUUUCAAGAGGCUGAAUCUGAGACCCAGCCAUUUACCCAGGGGGGUGGCUCUGUGCCCAAUGUCCACAGCGUGUUGACUAUGAAGGUACCAGAAAUUUGUGCUCGGUGGGCAUAGAGACUGUCUCCCGGGGGAGGAAAUGCAUAUUUCCUUUCUGAUUUGUUCAGCAGUAAGGCCUUGGGUUGAUUUUCUAGAGUUGGCCAUAAAGAAGAUGAUGAUGAUGACAAUGAGGCAAAGGCAUGUGGACGUGGAUGGCAAGCCAUUUGCAGAAUGUGUACGGAAGCCUAUGCUGCAUGGUAGGCUCAUGGAGAACACAAAUGCAUGCCUUGCUUUAGGGACCUGAUGUCUAAAUGGGCAGGUCAAACAGAACUCAUGUGAAACAAGUUGACGAUCGGUAUUUCUCCAAGGUCGAGGUGACUUUAUUUAGGAUUUGCUGAUACUAAAAACAGAGACCCCUCAAACCGCUCAAGAAAAUAGGGACUUAUUGUAAGACUCCAUGUGUGUGGCACUGGAAGUAAGAUAGAGGUGAGGCAUGGCAAGUCCCCUCUACCUCUCUCUCAGCAGGCCCCGCCCUCUCUCAUGGUGUCCCUGCUCUGUGUGUCUGCUCCUCUCUCUAAGGCCACCUCCUCUGUUCCUGUGGCUUCAGCUCUCUCCUAACCUCAGCUUACUCAGCCAGAGCUUCCAGCUGCUCUGACUCUACCUCGAGGCAUCCUUUCAGCCUUAACUACCCCCUCGAGUGGUAUAUUCCUUCUUGUUUGGUAGUUCUUUCUGUAUUAGACUGGCCCAACCCCUAGGCCUCUGUGAGCCUAUAUUUUGACUAUCCUUCUGUCACUUGCCAUCCCUGAAGAUCCAUUCAGCUGUGGCCAGGAGUAGGGGAUCACAAAACCACCUAAAGGGCCAUGGGCAGAUAGACACCUAAAACCAAUCCAGUAUGGGGGCUGUUGAUAAUAAAGUCUAUAAAACGUCAUGGAAAAGAGAAAUCCCUCUGAGCCAGAGAGAAUAAGCAGGACAGUGAGAUGGCUGAGGUUCCAACACAUGAGAUUUGGGUCCUAGAGAGAAGAGGAAAGCUCAGGUACAGGAAUGAGUACCACAGAAGACUGCAGUGGUGGUCACGAUCAUUUGUCCUUUUCCUGUGAGAGGAUUAUACCUCCCUACCUAGAUGACAUCAGAUUUGCGUGAUGCUUUUGCCAAUGAAAUGUAAACGGGAUGUAUGCCGUUUCUAGGCAAACGCUUUGAUCAUCAUAGCAUGAUUCACUGUGCUCUCUUUUCCUCUUGCACUGAAAACAACAGAGUCCCAAACAGGAAAAGUUCCAUUCACUUAAGUCCCAGGAUGACAACAACUGGGAGCAGUGCCAGAACAAGUCCAUGAUGGAUCUGUAAUGUAAAUAAGACGUAAGCCUUUAUCGUGUGAAGCUUGAGAUUUUGGAAUCAUUUGUUACUGCAGUGUAGCCUAGCCUAUCUUGACUGAUACAAAGAUCAUAUUGUGUUCAAAUAAAUGGGAGAGAGAGCAUUGGAAGUGAAGAGGUGAUGAGAAGCAGGGACAGGAAUCCAGAUGUCACAGAAGGAAGACUUGCAGUGGGAUAGCAUGCGAAGAUCUGGAAAGAAUAAGAGGACUUCAAGAGACAUUUUGAAAGAACAUGUACCAGGUGUGGGGAGCAGUUUGGAACAGGGAACGA